CAAAUUGGUCCACAUUGAAGUCUAAUGGGGUCUAAAAUUGAACAUUAUUUGAUUGCAUCAAAAAUUGAAUUCUUGGGGUUCUAUGAUAUGCUGAAUCUAACCAUGUAUUUAGAUUUUGGAUAUUGGACCAUAAUAGGUAAAUGUCAAAUUAAAUUUUUUUAAGUUUUUAAGUUUAAGUUCUUAGACCACACUCAUUCUGUUGUGUCAACUAUUUAAUCACAAUCCAAAUUCAGAGCUAUAUCAAGCUUAAAUGUUGUGUCCAUACUUGCCCCA
rnacentral:lncRNA from 1 species